rnacentral:rRNA from 1 species
GAUGAACGCUAGCUACAGGCUUAACACAUGCAAGUCGAGGGGAAACGGCAUCGAAAGCUUGCUUUUGAUGGGCGUCGACCGGCGCACGGGUGAGUAACGCGUAUCCAACCUGCCCAUCACUUGGGAAUAACCUUGCGAAAGUAAGACUAAUGUCCAAUUACAUCCCACGAAUGCAUCCGAAUGGGAUUAAAGAUUUAUCGGUGAUGGAUGGGGAUGCGUCUGAUUAGCUUGUUGGCGGGGUGACGGCCCACCAAGGCAACGAUCAGUAGGGGUUCUGAGAGGAAGGUCCCCCACAUUGGAACUGAGACACGGUCCAAACUCCUACGGGAGGCAGCAGUGAGGAAUAUUGGGCAAUGGGCGAGAGCGUGAACCAGCCAAGUAGCGUGCAGGAUGACGGCCCUAUGGGUUGUAAACUGCUUUUAUAAGAGAAUAAAGUGGGUAACGUGUGACUUUUUGCAUGUACCUUAUGAAUAAGGACCGGCUAAUUCCGCG